UCCGUUGACCUUAGGAGUCACUACUCU
rnacentral:tRNA from 1 species